CAAAUCAUUUGCAAUCUAUGAAUGGUGAUAACCAAGCAGAUUCAGUUUCACAUCCAAAAAAGAAACAUGAAAUACAACUUGAGGAAACAAGGAAUACUGUGUUACCAUGUCUGGGAAAAACAAAGAGCAAGAUACCACAGCGUACUCACCAUCAAAAAGGAAAGGACAAACCAACUCAACAAAGCCUUCUAGAGAAAGUAAAGAAACCAAGAAUAUUUAAGACACCACUCAAUAAGAUGAGUGAGUUAUACUUUUUUUGCAGAUUAAUUUUUACUAAACUAAUAGCAGAUAGAUGAAAGACUUAGGAGCCCGAUUUCUUUGUAGGAUGAGGUGAAAGAUAUAAAGUGUGGCAUGGAGGUUGGUUUGGAGUCACCAAAUAGUAAAAGGAUGGUGGCAUUGGGGACCGUUCAGAAAACUGAUAGCAAAGCUAAUGCAAGUGAUGGUUAUCCAUCGGCAGAUUGUGUUGAGGUCCUUGUCAAUGUUGUUUUUAACCAAACAACCAUAUUGCCUCGUGCACAUGGGAAGAUACAAAACCUGGAAAAUGCAACUGCCCGUUGUAUAGCAUGGCCAAAGAAAAAUGUAUGUUCUGUGCGCUUAAGUGGGGCUGUACAGCAAAAAAAGGUCAACAUCAAAAUCUGAGGCUUCCAAGUUUAACAAUGGUCAGGGCGCUUCACAAACCAUGUCUGAAAACAAGCUAGCAAGGAAGGUGUCUAAAGAAAAAGCAAGAUCUUGAUGUUAGUACAUUUAAAAGAAGCAUGAAUGAAGUGAGGAUGACAGGAAGGCAAGGAACAUCCAUUGAGUACAGAGUUAAAGUUUGAUGUACAGCUUGAUUUGAAUUUUUUUUGUGUAAUCAAGUGAGCAAGCAAUUUCACUCAUUCAGGAGUCAGGAUAUAAGGAACAAUAUUUGGAGAUGGAUAUUUAUUCAUUUUUCUAGCUUCAUUGAUUGUGUUUAGUUACAGAUAUGGAUAGAAAACCAGGAACAUAUGAAAUGUUAAGUGAUUGAAAAUAACAGACAAUUCCUGAUCCUGUUGGUUCACUUUCAAAUACAAUUGCUUGAUUUGGG